rnacentral:rRNA from 1 species
GACGAACCGUGCGAACGUUAUUCGGAAUCACUGGGCUUAAAAGCGCGUGUAGGCGGGACGGCACGUCGGUCGCUGAAAGCCCCCGCUCAACCGGGGAACGGGCGCCGAUACGACCGUCCUGGAGGGACGUAGGGGGACCUGGAACAUCCGGUGGAGCGGUGAAAUGCGUUGAGAUCGGAUGGAACGCCCGUGGCGAAAGCGAGGUCCUGGACGUUUUCUGACGCUGAGACGCGAAAGCCAGGGGAGCGAACGGG